ACUGUGUGGGAACAGCAGGGCAGAGAUGGGGCUGAGACAGGGAGGGAGACAGGCCAGGUACGAGCAGGAAAUGACCAGGACGGAGCCAGAGGGCCGGUCUCAGUCUUUAAUCGUGGCAGGGCCUCACGCACGCGCGCACGUACACACACUCAGGCUUCAGAUCUUGUUGAAAGCUGCGAUAUCGACACUCUGCACCUGAGGAGAGGCGGAGGGUGACGGUCAGGGCUGUUCCCCUACAGCCCACUCGGAGCCAGGAGCCUCCUCUGAGGCUUGACAUCCAGCAGGAUGGAGGACUUGGCCACCAGUGCAGGCUUCUUGGCCUUCUUCUCCGCGUACUGCCGUAGCCGCUCCUCCCGCAGCUGUGCCGCCUCCUUGUCCUCCUCCUCAUUGUCACUGCCAAACAGGUCAAUGUCAUCAUCCUCGUCAUCCUC
ensembl:lncRNA novel transcript